rnacentral:rRNA from 1 species
AGAGUUUGAUCCUGGCUCAGGACGAACGCUGGCGGCGUGCCUAACACAUGCAAGUCGAACGAAACUUUUUGCUUCGGUAGAAAGUUUAGUGGCGGACGGGUGAGUAACGCGUGAGGAACCUGCCUUUCAGAGGGGGAUAAUGUCUGGAAACGGACACUAAUACCGCAUGACAUUUUCUGUUCACAUGGACAGAAAAUCAAAGGAGCAAUCUGCUGAAAGAUGGACUCGCGUCCGAUUAGCUAGAUGGUGAGAUAAUAGCCCACCAUGGCGACGAUCGGUAGCCGGACUGAGAGGUUGAACGGCCACAUUGGGACUGAGACACGGCCCAGACUCCUACGGGAGGCAGCAGUGGGGGAUAUUGCACAAUGGAGGAAACUCUGAUGCAGCAACGCCGCGUGAAGGAAGACGGUCUUCGGAUUGUAAACUUUUGUACCUAGGGACGAUAAUGACGGUACCUAGGCAGCAAGCUCCGGCUAACUACGUGCCAGCAGCCGCGGUAAUACGUAGGGAGCGAGCGUUGUCCGGAUUUACUGGGUGUAAAGGGUGCGUAGGCGGCCAAGCAAGUCAGCUGUGAAAACUAUGGGCUUAACCCAUAGCCUGCAAUUGAAACUGUUUGGCUUGAGUGAAGUAGAGGUAGGUGGAAUUCCCGGUGUAGCGGUGAAAUGCGUAGAGAUUGGGAGGAACACCAGUGGCGAAGGCGACCUACUGGGCUUUAACUGACGCUGAAGCACGAAAGCAUGGGUAGCAAACAGGAUUAGAUACCCUGGUAGUCCAUGCUGUAAACGAUGAUUACUAGGUGUGGGGGGUCUGACCCCUUCCGUGCCGGAGUUAACACAAUAAGUAAUCCACCUGGGGAGUACGACCGCAAGGUUGAAACUCAAAGGAAUUGACGGGGGCCCGCACAAGCAGUGGAGUAUGUGGUUUAAUUCGAAGCAACGCGAAGAACCUUACCAGGUCUUGACAUCCAACUAACGAAGCAGAGAUGCAUUAGGUGCCCUUCGGGGAAAGUUGAGACAGGUGGUGCAUGGUUGUCGUCAGCUCGUGUCGUGAGAUGUUGGGUUAAGU